rnacentral:lncRNA from 1 species
AUGGGCAGUGUUAGCUGGCUUGGUGAUGCACCAAGUUCUUGGGCAAACCAGCACGAGCUUAGAGAUGUUGGCUCACCCUCUCCCUGGCAUGGGAGUCCCCUCCAGGGUAUAGUGAUAGUCUGCAGUGCGACCAGGAUAAGCAGUGAUUCCAAGGAGCAGGUCUGUACCCCUGAUGGUGCCAGAGGAGAUGCUCAGAACCUCCUGGGAGUUUGGGAACCAGGGAGAGGUGAGACCAAGGGGUGGGGUCUGGAGUGGACAGAGCCUGGAAUGCUGGAUGGGAGGCAGCAGUGUCUAGGCUGCAGGAACCAGAUUGCAGAAGUUGCUGAUGGACUUGUGAGCUGCUGGACGCCCCCAACCCCACCAGGUCUUCCUUGCCUGGGUGGUCAGCCACAUCCUACCCUAGGCCUCCUUUGGACAGAUGCUGCAAAGAUGUCUGCUUACGUAAUUGGAGCCCCUACCCAAUCAGAGUUCCACUGCUCCAGCUUCCAAGGAGCCCUGGCAAGCUACAUGAUAGGAAAAAGGAAUCAAAUCAGACGGUAAAAGCGUCUGCCUACAAUGCAGGUGGAUUCUUUACCAUCUGAGCCACCUGGGAAGCCCCAGUGUAAUGGCAAUCAAGCUCAUUGCAAAGAGGACUGGGUUGGGCACUGCCUGAAGACUCAGCCUACGGGGGCCAGGCAGGAGGUGUGCGUAAGUGGGUAGGUCAGGUGGGAAGUGUAGCAGAUGGAAGGGCGCCUGGCUAGAAGGAAUGGAGAGGCAGCUACUCAGCUCCAG